UCCCUGGUGGUCCAGUGGUGAAGACACCGUGCUUCCAGUGCAGGGGGCACAGGUUCAAUCCCUGGUCAGGGAA